GGUGGGCAGGUGAGGUGGGCGGGGGACGGCCCAGCGCGGCUCUAUUUCUGGGAAAGUGUUGCACCACAAGGAAACGGCAGCAAAGGAAGAGGCAUCACGUGGAUCAUAAGGGCCCAACCCCCGCACCUUGUGCAAGUACUUCACGUCAUUGGCGCCAAAUAACGCCAGUGAGAACGGGGUUUUCCUGACACUGCCGCUAGACUCUUCCGAGGGAGGACACGUAUUCUGACGGUCCCUGGGAUUUUUUCAAGGCUCGAGUGUAGUUCGAUUUUGAGAUUGUAAGGCCAUGGGCUUCAAGCAAACAUCUAGCAUGUGGGAAACACAACGGAACAAUCUGUCAGGGAGUGAAGAAAGGAGGGACGGGGCCAGCAAUACCAGCAACACCGCCACAACAGCACCGACAUUAGGGCAAGAAUUGGUCAUACAAGUCAACACUGUACAGAUUCGUGCUCUGGACAUUUCGAUGGGGCGGCCUGGACUGAAACCUUCUGUGGAAGUAGAAAAGCAUUGUGGUAUUAUUCUCCGUAACUUGGGUGACGAACUGUUUAACAGGUCACUGAAUGCCCUUAAUCUUGAGGGACUUGCGCCACCUACUGACAAUGACAGAAACCACAGAGGAAGACACCACUCGGCAAACAACAUAUGAACAAGGAGCUGGGCAGAAAA